rnacentral:rRNA from 1 species
GGGCGUAAGAGCUUGUAGGCGGUUUGUCGCGUCUGCCGUGAAAAUCCGGGGCUCAACCCCGGACUUGCGGUGGGUACGGGCAGACUAGAGUGUGGUAGGGGAGACUGGAAUUCCUGGUGUAGCGGUGAAAUGCGCAGAUAUCAGGAGGAACACCGAUGGCGAAGGCAGGUCUCUGGGCCACUACUGACGCUGAGAAGCGAAAGCGUGGGGAGCGAACAGGAUUAGAUACCCUGGUAGUCCACGCCGUAAACGUUGGGAACUAGGUGUGGGCCUCAUUCCACGAGGUCUGUGCCGCAGCUAACGCAUUAAGUUCCCCGCCUGGGGAGUACGGCCGCAAGGCUAAAACUCAAAGGAAUUGACGGGGGCCCGCACAAGCGGCGGAGCAUGUGGAUUAAUUCGAUGCAACGCGAAGAACCUUACCAAGGCUUGACAUACACCGGAAACACCCAGAGAUGGGUGCCCCGCAAGGUCGGUGUACAGGUGGUGCAUGGUUGUCGUCAGCUCGUGUCGUGAGAUGUUGGGUUAAGUCCCGCAACGAGCGCAACCCUCGUUCUAUGUUGCCAGCGCGUAAAGGCGGGGACUCAUAGGAGACUGCCGGGGUCAACUCGGAGGAAGGUGGGGAUGACGUC